GGGGGAGGGUUGAGAUCUCACAAACAUGUUUAACCCCGCCGCAUUUUUGCGCCUGUCCCAAGUCAGGAGCCUCUGGCCUUUGUUAGUCUUGUAUUAUUUUAAUUUUAGUUUCUUGUGUAUAAUUUGGAAAUUAGUAUGGCGUUCAUUAUCACUGAACUAGUAUAUAUUUGUUUAGGGGCCAGCUGAAGGACGCCUCCGGGUGCGGGAAUUUCUCGCUACAUUGAAGACCUGUUGGUGACCUUCUGCUGUUGUUUUUUCUAUGGUCGGGUUGUUGUCUCUUUGGCACAUUCCCCAUUUCCAUUCUCAAUUUUAUCAAGUA
rnacentral:lncRNA from 1 species